rnacentral:rRNA from 1 species
UUAACUUUUUAGUUUUAUUCUUUCAUUUUAAAAAUUUAAAACAUUAAAAGGCACAGUAAAGGAGAAAGAAAUUGCUAAUAAAUUUAAAAAGUACCGCAAGGGAACUAUCUAAUUACAUAGAAAGCAGUCACUUUUGACGUACUUUUUGCAUCACGGCUUAGCUAGAGUAAAUUAACUUUUUAAAAUCUCGAAAGCUAGCGAGCUAUCUUCUCCUGGAAUUUUAGGUUCUCCUCCAAAAAUGUAGCAAAAUCUUGGUAAGAGGAAAAGAUAGUGAUAACAUGUUAUUCGCGCUAGUGAUAGCUAGUUCCUUUAAAAAUACAUAGAAGUGUAGAACUAAUUAUGCACUUUUAAACAUUAUAUUUCAAAAAUGUUUUACAAUAUUAGUUCCCAAAUUUUUAAGGAUAAGCUUGAAAAUUAACAUAGCGAAAUAUAGGCAUAUUAACUCAUAUUAUAGGCCUGAAAUUAGCCAUUAAAACCGAAACUUGUUAUAAGGUCUUAUCUAACUAAAAAUAUUAAUAUAUUUUCUUCUAAAAAAAUAAAGGUCAAAGAUAAAACUAAUAUAUCCUUUAAACUAAUGCUAGGAUGAGUAUUNAACCUCAACUACUUCUGAGAACAAAAUAUUAAUCUCAGAUAUAAAGUAAAUAAUAUAAAAUAUAUGAAUUUUUCUGAAGGAACUCGGCAAAGUCAAUUGCUCCGCCUGUUUAUCAAAAACAUCGCUCUCUGUAAUUACAAGAUAGGAAGUUGAACCUGCCCAGUGAAAUUUUUCAACGGCCGCGGUACUCUGACCGUGCAAAGGUAGCAUAAUCAUUUGCCUUAUAAUUGAAGGCUAGUAUGAAUGGUCUGACGAGAGCAAUUCUGUCUCCUUUUUAUUUUAUAGAAUUUGACUUUUAGGUGAAGAGGCCUAAAUUUUAUUGAAGGACAAGAAGACCCUGUCGAGCUUAAAAAGAAGACAGAAAAUCUUAUACUGUUUUUAGAUACAAAACUGUUAAUCUUUUUUGGUUGGGGCGACCAAGGAACAGAAAAAGCUUCCUCUAACUUUACUUAAAACUUAUAUGUUUUGAUCCAGUCAGAACUGAUUAAAAAAAUUAGUUACCGCAGGGAUAACAGCAUAAUCUCCUUUAAGAGAUCAAAUCGAAAGGGGGGGUUGUGACCUCGAUGUUGGACUAGAAUAUCCUAAAGAUGCAGAAGUCUUUAAAGGUUGGUC